UACGUAGGUGGCAAGCGUUAAUCGGAAUUACUGGGCGUAAAGCGCACGCAGGCGGUCUGUCAAGUCGGAUGUGAAAUCCCCGGGCUCAACCUGGGAACUGCAUUCGAAACUGGCAGGCUAGAGUCUUGUAGAGGGGGGUAGAAUUCCAGGUGUAGCGGUGAAAUGCGUAGAGAUCUGGAGGAAUACCGGUGGCGAAGGCGGCCCCCUGGACAAAGACUGACGCUCAGGUGCGAAAGCGUGGGGAGCAAACAGGAUUAGAUACCCUGGUAGUCCACGCCGUAAACGAUGUCGAUUUGGAGGUUGUGCCCUUGAGGCGUGGCUUCCGGAGCUAACGCGUUAAAUCGACCGCCUGGGGAGUACGGCCGCAAGGUUAAA
rnacentral:rRNA from 1 species